rnacentral:rRNA from 1 species
UACAGAGGGUGCGAGCGUUAAUCGGAAUUACUGGGCGUAAAGCGUGCGUAGACGGUAGCGUAAGUCAGAUGUGAAAGCCCCGGGCUCAACCUGGGAAUUGCAUUUGAGACUGCUCUGCUCGGGUGCGGAAGAGGAGUGUGGAAUUCCCGGUGUAGCGGUGAAAUGCGCAGAUAUCGGGAAGAACACCCGUGGCGAAGGCGGCACUCUGGGACGGUACUGACGCUGAGACGCGAAAGCGUGGGGAGCGAACAGG